rnacentral:rRNA from 1 species
UGGGGAAUAUUGCACAAUGGGCGAAAGCCUGAUGCAGCGACGCCGCGUGAGGGAUGACGGCCUUCGGGUUGUAAACCUCUUUCAGUAGGGACGAAGCGCAAGUGACGGUACCUGCAGAAGAAGCACCGGCUAACUACGUGCCAGCAGCCGCGGUAAUACGUAGGGUGCGAGCGUUGUCCGGAAUUACUGGGCGUAAAGAGCUCGUAGGCGGUUUGUCACGUCGUCUGUGAAAUCCUAGGGCUUAACCCUGGACGUGCAGGCGAUACGGGCUGACUUGAGUACUACAGGGGAGACUGGAAUUUCUGGUGUAGAGGUGGAAUGCACAGAUAUCAGGAAGAACACCGAUGGCGAAGGCAGGUCUCUGGGUAGUAACUGACGCUGAGGAGCGAAAGCAUGGGUAGCGAACAGG